GCCCUCUGCAGGUGUCACACCAGGUGUCUCACUCAGUCAGAGUCCAUCUCAAAGCGCAAGAGGCACCAAGAGACCACACACUCCUAAGCCCAAGACACCCAAAGAAAAAGCCAAACUUGACCUGACUCCACCCCCUGUCGAGCUGUCAGAGCCGACUCAUGACCCCAUCCAGCCUGCUACAACUGUAAGACCAGCCAUCAAACUCCAUCUGAUCAGGCGAAACUGAUUCAGCUCCUGACCAAGAGGGAAAACAUCAUCCUCCCCCUCCAUCACCAAGCACCAUUUUUUCUUUUUCAUUUUCUUUUCAUUCUUAAUUCUUAAGGAAAACCGAGAUAUUCCUUUUUCCGA